rnacentral:snoRNA from 1 species
GUGAUACGAAAUAUUUAUAGCCUUCUAUUCACUGUGCCAUCUAAGUAACCGUAGAUGAUCAGAGGGGAAAAGAACGGCUAGAGGGAAUUCGCCAGCGUCCUCAUACUGUCCAAAUCGAAAAUUUAAAUGGGUUCGGUCGGUAACUGCGCUAGCGAGACAUGC